CUACGGGCUGCUGCAGUGAGGAAUAUUGCACAAUGGGGGGAACCCUGAUGCAGCAACGCCGCGUGGAGGAUGACGCAUUUCGGUGUGUAAACUCCUUUUAUAUGUCAAGAAAAUGACGGUAGCAUAUGAAUAAGCACCGGCUAACUCCGUGCCAGCAGCCGCGGUAAUACGGAGGGUGCAAGCGUUACUCGGAAUCACUGGGCGUAAAGGACGCGUAGGCGGGUUGGAAAGUCAGGUGUGAAAUCCUACAGCUUAACUGUAGAACUGCAAUUGAAACUUCUAAUCUAGAGUAUGGGAGGGGGAGAGGGAAUUAGUGGUGUAGGGGUAAAAUCCGUAGAUAUCACUAGGAAUACCUAAAGCGAAGGCGAUCUCCUGGAACAUUACUGACGCUAAGGCGUGAAAGCGUGGGGAGCAAACAGGAUUAGAUACCCUCGUAGUC
rnacentral:rRNA from 1 species